GGUUCAAUGGUGUAGUGGUUAUCACUCCUGUCUUACACGUCACGUGGGCACAGGCGGUCGUCGGUUCGAUCCCGGCUUGAAUCA
rfam:Phlebiopsis gigantea 11061_1 CR5-6 unplaced genomic scaffold PHLGIscaffold_6, whole genome shotgun sequence.